CGCGCGGGCGCGGGGCGAUCGAAAGGUCCUUCCCUAGAGGGACGCUCUGCGCACGCGCGGACCCCCACUGACUCGCCGGAAACGCGGCGGGCCAGCGGUGCUGGUCCUAGGCGCGGAUCCGAGCUACCCCCGCUUCGGCCUUGGGAGCUCUGCUUGCACAAACCCUAGCUUUCACAAGAACUGGAAGAGCGGGCCAGGCCUGCGCCGCGGACUUAGUGGGCCCUGCCCCUCUGCCAUCCCCUGGAUGGAGCCAGUACAAAGAAGAAUCUGAUAGUGUGUGACUCUUGACUGGGAUCCUCAGAUCACGACUUUACCCUUGAUCUGCUGGACUGCCUUCUACAGAGAAAGCCAGCUGACAUGGAGAAUGCUCUGGAAGCCCUAGGGAAGCGGACAGCAGCCUGGCAGUCACUUGAGAAACAGCCUUCUCUCUGUGGUGACACCUUCAGAAAACUACACUCUCGUGAGUGAUCCCAUCACACAACUCAACUGAGAUAGCUUCCAAAGUCCUGACUCACAGAUGCUGUGGAGACAAUACACGUUUACUGUGUUAAGACGCUAAAUUUGGAGUGUGAUCUUUUUGCAACUGAUUGAUUUAGGUCAACCCUAUUAAAAAGGAAAAGAACUGGGACAUAAGAGAUUUAGAGGAAACGGUGGGAAACAAAACAAAGCCGAUUGGGGAAGGUGGCUAGGGCUGAGGUUAGAGGAGUGUGGAAUGAGAGACAAUGUUGAAAUGCUUAGUAUUGUGGUAUUUUGAAUUCGCUUGGCCCAGGAAAGGGCGCUAUAAGGAGGCAUGGCCUUGUUGGAGGAAAUAUGUCCCUGUGGGGGUGGGCUUUGAGACCCACCUCCUAGCCACAUGGGAGACAGUCUUUUCCUGUUUGCCUCUGGAACAAGAUGUGGAACUCCCAGCUACUCCAGCACCUUGCCUGUGGACCCUGCUGUGCUUCCCAGCAUGACAAUAAUGGAGUGAACCUCUGAAGCUGUAAGCCAGCUUCAAUUAAAUGUUAUCCUUUACAGGAGUUGCCUUGGCCAUUGUGUCUCUUCACAGCAGUGGAAACCCUAAGGCAUGUAUCGACUUGUGGAAGGCAUAAAGUGCCCAGUUAACAAGGUGUGAUUUAUUCUGCAUGCAAGGAUAAGUAUUAGCUGCAUCACGCAUGAGUUUGGGGGAAGAUUAGUACUUCAGCUUUUAUUUAGGGGAGCAGGAAGGGUAGACUGAAGGAGGAAACAUCAAGCUAAGGGACCACUUUACACACUCAUGUGAAAGGUAAUGUGAACUGAGUCAAGGCAGCACCAAGCAAGUUGCAAGAGUGGAUUUAAUUUGUAUAGGAGGUAGGUGAUAUUGUUAAUUAAUAGGAAGGAAACUUUUUAAUUGACUGUAUGAAAGGAUAAUAAUAUUCACCCAAAGUCUAUGACACAGAAGUGGUGCAUAGUUGUUAUGAGGGAUGAGGUGUAAAUGAGCAAACCCCUUACUGCUUUCUCAUCACCAAGAUAUAAACUCCAGGAUCCUCCACAUCCACAGGAAGCCAGGUUGGGACAGAAGCCCUGGCUACCCUCCCCAACCUCCCACCCCAGGCAAUAAGGGGACACUCUGGUCAUUUUCUCCCCGGAAUGUGUUAUUCUUUCUGCCUCAGAUUACCAGGCACUCUCUACCUAAACAGGGAUGUUAAUCCCUGUUUCUAACUCAGUGCACUCUACAAGAUAAAACUCUCUUUUCCAGACUCUGGUAGGAUACUUUGUGUCAUCUCGAACUUCAAUUUCAAUUUGAGUUUUGACAAAGGUGGUGAAGCCCUCCCCCAACGAAGGCAAUGAUGUAGAGAGCCUGUUCUCCAAAUAGAAAAGGGAAAAAGAAGAUGUCUAAUUGAUAUCUCAAGAAGUUAUCUCGUGAGUCACCCAUUGAGAACACACCUACAAGUAAAUAAAACAGCCCUGCCCUCUUGUGAUUACCAGUGUGAACAAAGGCAGUCAAAAGGGAAAUGCCAUAAAGGCUGUGUUGGGUAUAUAAUCAAAAUUAUAUAUGAAUCUGCAAGAGGGAAAAACUAAGCUAGGGCCUUGCCAGGAAACCAGUUUAUGGUGCCAGAUGUUUACUGUAAUCUUCACAUUAUUUUCACUCCACCAUGCCUGCCCUUGCGUGCUUAGUUCUUUUUGUUUGUGAACUCGGCCAGGUACAGAGGAAAAUGACAUCAGUCUUGAUGCUCUGUCCAGCAACUCAAUCGACGCCCAGUCAUCUCUCUGUGUGAUCCAACCAAACACUCCUUCAAAGCCUCAGUAACGCUCUGCUUGACUAGUUGUUCAGUUCAGUGUCAGCGUUCUCUUUUUGAGGGGCCCAACGGCUGCAGCGAACCACCUGUGACUGGAUUCUCCACUGAGCUAUGUCAGGUCUCCUCCCUAGACACAGAACUUUCUCACAGUACCCUCCUCGGGCUGAAGUCCUGCUCCUCUCUCUUUGUACGACAUGGGUCCACUAUCUGGUUCCCACAUUCUUCUCCACCAUCACCCACCAGAAUGGAAAAUUGCAUCAUUGAAAACAGAGACUCAUACUCCAGGCUGGCCUUUAACUUCCUAAGUGCUGGAGAUGGCCUGGACCCUCUGAUCCUCCUGUUCCUAAGUGCUGGGACUGCAGGCUUGCACCACCACGUUUGGUCUAUGAAGUGCUGAGGUUUAAAAUGGAGUCAAGCACCGAGCUACAUCCUCAGCCUCAGGCGUGCAGGGCAGGGGGGUGAGGGUGGGAUGGGGAAGCCAGGUGGUUUUAAGUAAAAUGUAUACAAAGUUCAA